CCUACGUGAGGCAGCAGUGAGGAAUAUUGGUCAAUGGGCGCGAGCCUGAACCAGCCAAGUAGCGUGAAGGAUGACUGCCCUACGGGUUGUAAACUUCUUUUAUAAAGGAAUAAAGUGAGGCACGUGUGCCUUUUUGUAUGUACUUUAUGCAUAAGGAACGGCUAACUCCGUGCCAGCAGCCGCGGUAAUACGGAGGAUCCGAGCGUUAUCCGGAUUUAUUGGGUUUAAAGGGAGCGUAGAUGGGUUGUUAAGUCAGUUGUGAAAGUUUGUGGCUCAACCGUAAAAUUUCAAUUGAUACUGGCAGUCUUGAGUACAGUUGAGGUAGGCGGAAUUCGUGGUGUAGCGGUGAAAUGCUUAGAGAUCACGAAGAACUCCGAUGGCGAAGGCAGCUUACUAAACUGCCACUGACAUUGAUGCUCGAAAGUGUGGGUAUCAAACAGGAUUAGAUACCCCGGUAGUC
rnacentral:rRNA from 1 species